GAUUUGUCAUCUUUUUUUCGCUUUCACCUUCAAUUGCGAAAGGAUUUGAGAUCGGUUUUUAAUUCGCUUCUCUCUCUUCAGCAAUAUUUGAACUUCGCGUUGUAUGAAGGUUUUUACCAUUCGCAUAUUCUUGUCCAACAAAAAAAGUGAAGGGUAGCUAACAGCGAGUUGGAGGACGCUGCAGAACCGCGUGAUUGAUUCAUCUGCUAUUUGGGUG
rnacentral:lncRNA from 1 species